CAACGGGUGGCUGCAGUGGGGAAUAUUGCACAAUGGGCGCAAGCCUGAUGCAGCCAUGCCGCGUGUAUGAAGAAGGCCUUCGGGUUGUAAAGUACUUUCAGCGGGGAGGAAGGGAGUAAAGUUAAUACCUUUGCUCAUUGACGUUACCCGCAGAAGAAGCACCGGCUAACUCCGUGCCAGCAGCCGCGGUAACACGGAGGGUGCAAGCGUUAAUCGGAAUUACUGGGCGUAAAGCGCACGCAGGCGGUUUGUUAAGUCAGAUGUGAAAUCCCCGGGCUCAACCUGGGAACUGCAUCUGAUACUGGCAAGCUUGAGUCUCGUAGAGGGGGGUAGAAUUCCAGGUGUAGCGGUGAGAUGCGUAGAGAUCUGGAGGAAUACCGGUGGCGAAGGCGGCCCCCUGGACGAAGACUGACGCUCAGGUGCGAAAGCGUGGGGAGCAAACAGGAUUAGAUACCCCGGUAGUC
rnacentral:rRNA from 1 species